ACUUGCUCUCUGUCACUCACAGCAUUUCAGCAUGGCUUCCUGGGAAUGACUGCACAUGUGUUUCUGGUGAAAUGAAACUCAGGCUAUUAAAAAGCCAAAGUGCAAAGCCAUCUUCUCAGUUGUGAAGCUUCACUUCUACGAGGAACUAAAGCUACUGCAGUCAUGGCCUCCUCCAGCAGUCUGCUGUGUGAGGAGCAGCUCCAGUGCGCGAUUUGUCUAGAUGUGUUCACUGAUCCAGUGUCUACUCCGUGUGGACACAACUUCUGCAUGACCUGUCUCAAAGAAUGCUGGGACAACAGUUCAUACUGCCAGUGUCCAGUUUGUAAGCAGGAUUUUGCUAAAAGGCCUGAGCUUCAUGUGAAUACGUUCAUAUCUGGACUAGCUGUUCAGUUCAGGAAGCUGGGUGAGGUGAAAUCCAGCAACACGGCGGAGCAGCUCGGCUCUGCGGGUACAAAGGUGCUGUGUGAUUGCUGCACAGGGGAAAAGCUCGAGGCUCUAAAGUCCUGUCUGGACUGUGGGGUUUCUUACUGUAACACUCAUCUGAUGCCUCAUAGAACUGCAACUAAACUCAAGAAACACAAACUGAUUGAUGCUGUGGAGAAGCUGAAGGAUUACAUCUGCCAGAAACAUGAGAGACCCCUGGAGCUGUUCUGUAGAGAUGACCGGAUGUGUGUGUGUCAGUUCUGCACCGAGGGAGAUCACAAAACCCACCGCACUGUCCCAAUAGAGGAGGAGAGUCAAGCAAAGAAGUCUCAGCCAGGGAUGAUGCAGUCAGAAGUUCAGCAGAUCAUCCAGGAUCGAAUGAGGAAGAUUCAGGAAAUCAAACACUCUGUAAAACUCCAUAAUAGAAACAUAGAGAAGGAGAAAGUAGACAGUAUGAAGGUGUUUGAUGAUCUGAUUCGCUGUGUUGAGAGGAACCAGGCUGAGCUGCUCAAGAUGAUGAAGGAAAAGCAGAGAGCAGCAGAGUGGCAGGCUGAAGAGCUCAUUAAAGAGCUGGAGGAGGAAAUCACUGAGCUAAAGAGGAGAAACACUGAGCUGGAGCAGCUCUCACACACUGACGAUCAUCUCCACUUCCUGCAGAUGUACUCAUCCAUCUGCAGCCCUAAACACACCAGAAACUGGACUGACAUCAGGUUUAUCCCUGAGAUGAGUGAGGAAACUCUGAUGAGAGCUCUGUCUGAGCUUCAGGAACAUCUCAAUAAGGAAAUGGAGAAACUUUCUGAAAUUAAACUGAAGAAAAUUCAGCAAUACGCAGUGGAAGUGACUCUGGAUCCCGAUACGGUUCACCCUUACCUCAUUUUGUCUGAAGAUAGAAAACAAGUGACAUGUGGAGACUGUGUGCAGAAUUACCCUGAUAACCCUCAGAGGUUCAAUCGCUGUCCCUGUGUGCUGGGGAAGGAAGGAUUCUCCUCAGGGAGAUCUUACUAUGAGGUACAGGUCAGAGGGAAGACCAUGUGGGAUUUAGGAGUCGCCCGAGAGUCCAUUAUCAGGAAGGGAAAGAUUACAGCCUGCCCUGAGAAUGGAUACUGGUCUGUGUGUCUGAGGCGUGAGACUGAUUAUAAGGCUUGUGAGACUCCCUGGAUUUCACUCUCUUUGAAACAGAAGCCUGAAAAGAUCGGGGUGUUUGUGGAUUACGAGGAGGGCCUCGUCUCCUUCUAUGAUGUAAAGACUAAGACUUGUAUCUACUCUUUCGCUGGGUCGCGAGGGAGCCUGGAGCAUAUUCCGGGGGACUCAGGGCACACGGCAGGGCACAAUCACGCACACACUCACACACCAUGGACAAUUUGGAAAGGCCAAUCAGCCUACAAUGAACAUCUUUGGACUGGGCAAACCAGGAAACCAGAGUACCCCCAAACCACAGGGAGAACAUGCAAACUCCGUGCACAAAGGGCGGAGGUAGGAUUCGAACCUCCAACCCCGGAGGUACAAGGCAACAGUGCUAACCAUUAAGCCUCACUCCCACAUUAAAUUUCAACAUUAUUGAAUUAUAAUUUUGUUUCUUCAUUACAUUUUCCUUCACCCAGAAAUUGUGUGGGAUGCAACUUUUGCAUUCAACUGCAAUUAUACAACUGAUUUAUGAUGCACACUUUAAGCCCAAAAGAUGGCUGACAUACUUUGUCUGUUCUGAAUUCAGCUAUUGUUGCUCCACUAUAUUGUAUGUGUACUGUUGCUGCUGAGCAUGUUUGGAAUUUCUCCUUCAGGCCUAGUGGAAGGGCGAGAGCGGUCUCUGGAGUCUUGCCCUCCUCUAGUCCUCCCCUUUGAAAUCUCCCUUGCAGUGGCUUCCCAAGAUAGUGCAGACAUGAAAGGGAAUAAGCGAUGUACAGCACUCUUCAAAGCCUGAACUCUGGGGGAAGACAGCAGGCCUCGCAGGCAGUUAGCGACUCCCUGCUGCUAAAGAGAGGCCUGUGAAAUGAGCUGACAGUCAACAACACAUUUUUUUAUCCAGUUUACAGCUGCAAAGAAUGAGAACUAUAAAAGCUGAUCUGAGAGCUGGACAGACUGCAGAGUGAGUAAAUUGGGCCAACAGCUCGCCUGGCACAUGGCACAUAUGACAUGCUGUCCAAAAGGUGGUCACAUUUGGUACUGGGUCACUACCACAGCCUGGAGUGGGAAAUUGAGGAAGUGAAAACACAGCAAGUUCACUCAGGUACGGACCAAAACAGCCAGUAUGAAAGCAUCUGAGCAAGAAGGUCUACUUCCAGUUAAACUCUAGCGUUAUGACAUGUACUACAUGACACCUGCUGUAAGGCUCAAUGAGGCACUCAAAAGGGCCGACUGAUGCCAACUAUGGACGAGGGCUGGCUUGCUGUGUCAUGGCCCUGAAACAUGGUAUAGACUCACCUAUUACUAGUGUGUUAACUAACACAUCCCACCUAUAUUCAGCAUGAUGGAGCAUCUUUGGGUGGAUACAGCAAACAUUUCAACUCUGUGAGAAGAAACAAAGGACCACAGAUACUAGAUAGUGUAAUGUGGGUGUCAUUAGCAUAAGGGACAUUGUUGUUGUUGUUGUGUUUUUAUUUCUGGCAAGUACACUAUAUGGCCAAAAGUAUGUGGACCUCUGACCAUCACACCCAUAUGUGCUUUUUGAACAUCCGAUUCCAGAUUUAGUCCCCGUUUGCUGUUAUAAUAACCUCCACCCUUCUGAGAAGGCUUUUGCUGGAAGUUUGGGCCUCUUAGUUCCAGUGAAAGAAAACUGUAAUGCUAUAGCAUGCAAAGACACCCCGUACAACUGUGUGUAUUAAACUUUAUGGCAACAGUUUGGAGAAGAACCACAUACGGGUGUGGUGCUCAGGUGUCCACAUACUUCUGGCCAUAUAGUGUAGUUUAAUAAAACGCAUGGUUCCGCCUUAACAUCAGUCAUUUACAGUUUAUUCAUUAACCAUAUGGCCACUGUUUACGAAUAUCAGCUGUCCAUAAAUCAUAUCAUCAAUCAUAAAGUGCCGCAACUGUUUCAUUUCAGUUUUGCUAACACAAACAGAACAGUUCUGGCCAGAUAUUACUAAUGCACAGGACGGGUUCCCAAAUCAACUUUACACAAUUUUCAGCUUAGGCCAAAUGUAGUCAAUCAGCCAAGACAUAUUUGGUGUCUGGAAUCUGAUUAUAUGUAAUCUCAUUUUAAAUGGAUAUGUAUAUGUAAGGAAGAGUUAUCAUAUACAAAUUGAAGCUAAAGUCAAACUACUGUCAUUAGCUUUCAAACUUUCGGAGUUGAAGCGUAAAGAGCAAAACUCUGUGAGACUACUGAAACACUGGAUAUUGGCAGAUAUGCACAGCCUAAAAUUUUUGUCUGAGAUAGACUUCCAUUAUUGUUAUCAAAAUUAGCUUUGUUAGCUAAAUUACCUUUAGUUAUAUUGUAAAUCUAAGCAAGUGUGUCAAACAUGCCUUGACUGACUGACUACAAUUGGGCUAAUUAUUAUUAUUAUUAUUAUUAUUAUUAUUAUUAUUAUUUUUGCCAAGCCUUUCCUUACAUAUUUAAUUUUUUUAGAACAUUAUCUCUGAGAUCUUUAAACACACUAUUUUUAGUGCAUAUGAGCAAACACAACCUUGUAAAACUGAGAAACUUAUCCAUUGCAGUAGGGUUUUUGAAAUAGUGUUAAAGGUCUUUGGAAUGGUUUAAUCUUGUAACAAGCCAUGUGGGUUUGUACAUCUGCUUUUUUUUUUUUUUUUUUUUGGUAUUCAUCCCUCACUCUGGUGUAACUUCUGAACCGCCUUCAUCACUCCAAAUGUCCUGCAGAGCGAUGCUCCUCCCUGCCCCCUCUCACUGCUUCAGAAGCUGCUUAAUCAUUUUAAUAUGAAAGCUGUUAAGUGCCUCCAAUAAUUACUUUGAUGAAACGGAGGGCAUUUAAAGAGACUUCCACCCGAGCAGCUUUUCAACCAUUCUUUUCAUCAUCCUUUCAUCACUUUUGAUCUUUUGCUUGUGCCCUCGCGCCUGCUCUCUGUUUCUGUCUAUUAUCAAUCCACUGGUCUUAUUUUUAAUCUGUCCCUGACUGCCUCUCCUUUUCAGAUGCAUCUUAGUCACUGGUUUAACCCUUU